GAGAGGGGGCAACUACCGCAUUUGUCUGUCUUUUUUACUCACGCUUAAAUGCUGUUUUAGAUAUGAGGGCGCAGUGAUGCCUGUGAAAGCCACAUUGAUAAAUAUUUAUUGAUAAAUAUUUAUGGAUUUAUGUAUCUGAAGAAGUGUGCAUGCACACGAAAGCUCAUACCAAAAUAAAAACUUAGUUGGUCUUUAAGGUGCUGCUGAAGGAAUUUUUUUUUAUUUUGCUUCGACUCAGACCAACACGUCUACCUACCUGUAACUAUUUAUGGACUGCUAUUGAGUGAAUGGAAAUUACUGCUUCAUAUGUAACUUGGCUUGCUGGCAAACCUUUAUUGGUACAAUAGACCAGAAUAGAAAUCUCGUGCACAGUUCCUACAGUCAUGUGGGUAACUUGCUGGACUUGCCACUCAAGAUUUUCUGAUAUAAGAUGAAUUAUUAAUACCUUCCAACAUGGUAGCUAACUGUAUUUAAGGUGCUGCCUUGAACUGUUGAAAGGUUGCAAUGUUUGAGACUUCUUAGCUUAGAUUAGGUCUUGUCCACACUUCCACUUGUCCUGCCUCUUCCCCCUUGUUUACCACUGAAUUGUAACAAAUGUCAAUCAGGUUUUCUGCGGAUUGACAUUUAUUCUGAUUCAGCGGUAAAUGGUGGGUUUUCCCGGGGAAAGUGGUGGGGCAAACAGAAAACCACUCAGACUUGUUUUUCUCCUUCGCUUAUAACACUAGAACUUGUGAAGCUGAAUAUUGUAAGACAAAAGGCAGGACUUGUUCAUGCAGCACAUAGUUGAAGUAUAGCAUUUGCUCCCCCAUGAGGCAGUGAUGGAGACCAACUUGGAUGGCUUAAAAAGAGGAUUAGACAAAAUUGUGGAAGAGGGGAGCUGUCAAUGACUAGUAGCUCUGAUGGCAGUGAUCUGUCUCCAUGGUCGGAGGUAAUAAUGCUUCCGAAUACACGUUGCUGGAAGCCAAGGAAGGGAAGAGUGGUCUUGUGCUCAGAUGCUGCUUGCAGGAUUUCCACACACAUUUACCUUUACAAUGUAGCCUAGUGAGAAGACCCCCAUCCCCUUUGCUCUGUACUGUACUAACAAAUUGCAUAAACUAUUUCUUUGCAACAUUGCAUUUUUUUCUUUGAUUGUUGAGUUGUAGGACUUUUGUCCUAUUUGAAUAUUGUCGUAUUUGAAUAUAGAUAUUCUCUUUAGUAAGAGACAAGUCUAUGAAGGCAUGCAGAUGGGAUGUUCUGGUAUAUUUGCUGUUUCAGUAUCUGCUAAUUGGACAAAAUAACGUUUUUAUGGAAACACAUAGAAACUGCUAGUCUUGAGGGAGUCAUUUUCUACAAAGCAUUUAUAGUAGUGUUUUUAAUCUGUUGAGUGUAUCUAUGAAAUGUUAGUUACAGUACUGAAAUAAAGAUGGCUCUGAGCUGUGUCAAUAACUGUGUGAUAAAUCUGAAGUGUUCAUAUCUCUUAGUGGAGCUCUAGUGUGAAGCUGUACAUUUAUUUCUUUUGAAUGCUAUUGUCACAAACUUAUUUAGAUUUGAAUUUGAACUAGUAUAGUCUGCCUUAUGCAUUUUAAUCUCCAGUUGCGGACAGGAUCCAUUCCGGAGGUCUGGCUGGAUCCCGAGGUUUUCACAACCAGAGGACCGCUUCUGCACAUUCGCAUGCGGCAAAACCCGGUAAAAUACUUCCGGGUUUGCUGCUUAUGUAUGCCGAAGUUUACGUAACCAGAGGGCUACGUAAGCGGAGAUACUACAGUACUGUAUUUUGGUAGUCUCUUGUUUUACUCACUGUGAUUAUUAGUGUAAAAUGAUAGGAGUUCAAAGUUAAAUUUUCAUUAUUCUGUUUCUCUUUAUUGUUAACAGAUCAACAUAGUGAAAUAUUUAUACAUUGCAGCUGGCAAAUGUUUUGGGUAUGAACAAAAGUAGUCAUCUUGGAGUUUUGCAGGUUGGGUGUAAACUGCUUACAACAGCUAUGACACCUGCUCUUCAAGAGAAAGCAAUGAAAGGGCACAGUAUCUGCUUAUCAUCUUCCUUGUCUUCAAGAGUCAUGGAGUCCAAUGAUGCAUUAGGCAUGGGAAGUACCAGACCAGUAAAAGAGAAGAUGAAAGAUGGUUCUGUCACAAAAAUUACUUGCUCUGUGCUGGGGUUCCCCAUUCCUCAAGCCAACCAUAGCACUGAUUGCUUUAACUUAAAGUACUUUGGUUCUCAGUCUUCUAAACACUAUCCAGUAUUAAUGAGCCCCAGUUCUACUUUCCAUGUAAGCAAUAAAAAUUGUGUGCAGAGGAACUCAGAAGAGCAUAGCUGUUCCAAGGUGAGAAAUCCAUUAUGUAACAGCACUAAUACACACUUCAGUCAAAUUAUUAAUUCAGAAUCUGGGGAGCAGGUCAGAGGGGAAACUUUAUUAGGAUCAACAAAGAACUUACCUGAAAUAGGAAAACUAUUUGAUUCAUGUUUAACUGAAUCCCACAAUGUAGAAGAAAGGCAGCUUUCUAACUGUAAAGGGUAUCAGAAGAAUGGCUUUUUGAGCAAGGCAUUAUUUAAUAAUCCUGAGACAAAAAAAGGAGACCUGCUCCAUCAAGUGUGUGAUGAUGCCCUGGAACCAAAAAUGAACUACAAUCCCAAUACUAAAGAACAGGAGUUGAAUUUUCAUUUAUUUCAGUGUGUAAGCAAGCAACAGGCUUUGCUCAGCCGGGCCAAAAGAACUCAGAAACGUUUGCAAAUACUCUUGGCGAAGCAUGUUGUCAAACACUGUGACCAGCAGAUGAAAUGCUUUGUGAGACGCCAACUACAGAGAAUGAAAGCCUUUCAUGAUCCAUCCGGUGUUUUGGGUGGCAGCUAUCAUAGAUGCACCAACAUUAAAAUGGAAAACAUAGAGGCUAAUACAAGUAAAGAUAUACAGCGUGAUUUUGAUGUUUCAUCUGAUGAAAUCAAGGUGUUUGCUCGCUCAACAGCUGGACUCCUAUUUCAUGCGGAAGAGAGUUUGGAUUCUGAUGCCACUUGUAGCAGCUCAAGUGAAGAUGAUGAGGAGCAGAUUUCCAGAAAAGCUAUUAACUAUAGAUCUGACACGAAAUGGCUGGUAGACAGAGCUAAUGUUGGCUGUCGCUGGACAUGGCUUCAAGCCCAGAUUUCAGAGCUAGAAUACAAAAUCCAGCAACUCACUGACCUUCACAGGCAGAUUCGUGCCACCAAGGGAAUGGUGAUCCUAGAAGAAUUUCCAAAUCCAAAAGACUUCUUGAAGAAACGAACACAAUUGAUGGACCAUGAAGCUUUAUUAAACACCACAGGGAAUUCACAUGCUUCCCUUGAGAGGCAGGAUGCUUGGCCGGAACAUGAUUUCGAAAUGUCACCCAGCAGUCCAACUCUGCUUCUCCGUAACAUAGAAAAACAGAGUGCUCAACUGAGUGAAAUAAUCAGCAGUCUGAUUACUCCUCUCAAUCUGUCUCCCACAUCAUCUCCUCUUUCCUCAAAGCCCUCUAAGCAGAAAGAGUUGGCCAAUGGCAUCUCUAUAAGAGAUUCAGAGAACAAUGAGGAGAUAUCAUGCACCAGUAGUUGGUUGGUUGAUCAACAACACCUGAAGAGGAGGAGGAAAGAAAAGGCGAAGUUGAGAACAUCGUCUGUUGCCAUGAUAUGCACAUCUGCUCGCACUAGACCACUUCAGAGUUUUCAGAGGAGAAAGCUGUAUAAAAUGAGCACUGCUUUCAGUUCAAACCAGCAGGCUAUGCAACUGAGAGAUACCUUGUUUAAUACAGAAGAGGUGGUCCCAGCCUCCACGUGGAGUACAUAUGAAUUGAGCACCAAGCCCAGGACACAAAAACAACUCAUGUUAGAAUUGGACACCUCAUUCCAUCCUGUCUUAUCAUUUCCUUCUGAUACUUCUCUUCAUGUACACUUUAAAACACUGCUCAAGAAUUAUGAGGUCAAAGGUGAAUCUGCCCAUGGUUUAGAGUUUAAAAUGUCUCCAUCAAAUGAAUAUUUUCAUUAUAAAGGUCCUCCUCAACAGUGGAUCUGUGGAUUUGAAUCCAGUUCCAAACAUCAGACUGUGUCAGAAAUAUCUGAACAGCUGCUAGAGGGAAGAAAGAAAAGACAUUUAAGUGAGACAUUGAUUGGAGAAAGUAAUAAGAGAUGUGAAGCAUUUUCCUUUCAAUGUGCAGAGCCAGAAUCCCAGAGUCCUUUUACAGGAGCAGCCAAUGGAGACAUGAUGUCUAGAUCAAGUCAUAGUAUAUCAACACAGCUCAAUUCAAGACGUAGACUGAGAAGUGAGAGCUCCUAUGAUAUAGAUAAUAUUGUUAUACCUAUGUCACUCGUGGCACCGUCCAAGCUGGAGAAACUACAAUAUAAGGAAAUUCUCACUCCAAGCUGGAGAAUUGUUAAUCUUGAGCCUUUGGGAAGCCUGCAUGAAGAUGAAGACAAGGCAGAAGAUCUGUCAGAUGAUGCCUAUGCUUCGCGUCAUGCAAACUACGAAGACAAAGAGAGAGCACGCUGGUCGCUGUGGCAACAGUGCCGAUGGCCAAGAAGGAACAGAACAUAUAGCAGAAGUUCUGAGGGACAAGAUCCAGCAUUGAAAGAAAAACAAGGCAACUCUGAUUUUAUAUCUGAUUUUUCUGAAAGCAUUGCUGACACUACUUCAGAAAUCCACAGUUCUCUCUGCUUGAGGGAGUCAGAGUCUUCAGAAAGAAACCAAAAAACAAAGUCUGUUCUUUGGGAACGUCGAUCUUUUCCACUAAAGGCUGAAGAAGCAGGUGCUUUACUAUGCCAAGAUCAGAUAACUGAUCAGCACGAGAAUUCAGAGGUGGCCAUCCCCAGUGACUUUGACUGUACCUCACAUGCUGCCUUCAGUUUACCAAAUAACCAGCCACAAAAGAAAAGCUCUCCCAAUGAGCUGGAAGAGUACAACCAAGUUGACUUGGGAAUUGGCUGCAUGAAAAAACAGAGGUGACAGAAAGUAAUGCGGUUCAUCAAGAAAGCUAACCAAAGUGAAAGAAUGCGUAAGUUUUGACAGGCAGGAUAAGUGCCCAAGAGAUGUAAAGACUGAAUGCUCUUAAACUGCAACCACCUUUGCCUGCAUAUCUGAAAGGAUGACCUAUUUUAAAUGUACGUAUGGUUGCUGUGCAGCAGAAUAAGGUUUUUUUCUCCAUAGCAAUGCAACAAUUUUAACUGAACACAGAAAAAGCUACCCAAGAAGUUGUUUUUGUAAGUGGCAGGAGCACAAUCGUCCUCUGUCCUUGUAAGGAAACUGGUUUGCCCAGUGAUACAUCAAGCAUUGUAAAUGUGAUGAAUGGUUACUGGAGAAAGACAAAAAGUUUUAUAUGAAGAAAAAUCAGUUGAAAUAAUUGAUUUUCUUAAUUUCACAAUGGAUCUGUUUCAUUUUUGAGUGCCAGGGAAAGACUAAGAAUUAGAAAUACUAUAAUUUAGCUACUUAGCUUUUUUAUUACAACUUAUUUUAAACACUUUGUCUAGCCUACAAAAACUAGGCAAUAGCAAUGUUUUAGAUACUGAGGGAAAACCAAAUUAUUUUCAUACUCAAAUUCCAAAAUGCAGUUUGUGGAAUGUUACCUGCAUGCUCCCGUGAUGCUAAGUGUUGAAAAGCAGUAGAGGCUUGCCAUAUACAUUCAUGAUGCUAAUGCAAUAAGACUCUAUACUGCUGUGAAACCAAAUAGCUCUUCUGUGAGGAACUGUUGAAGGUUUUAAGAAAAGCCCAAUUGUUAAGCAAGCUUUUCUUCAAUGCCAUGUCCAAUUGUAGUUCCCCCACCCCACCCCAGACUGGAAGUACGCUGGAUAUUGUAAAAAUGUUCAGUUGCAUUUCUACAGUACAGACUGUUAAGAUUGUAGUUUACUGCAAAUUUGGUUUUUAACUUUUAAAAAUACUUUUUGUCCAAUUAAUUAAAUUUUUAAUCUUGUCUCUGACACAACUAUUUUCAAUGCAAGUUUUUAAAAUUAAAAAAUUAUUUCUGUA